AAAUGCGAUAAGUAAUGUGAAUUGCAGAAUUCAGUGAAUCAUCGAAUCUUUGAACGCACAUUGCGCCCGCCAGUAUUCUGGCGGGCAUGCCUGUCCGAGCGUCAUUUCAACCAUCAAGCCCCCGGGCUUGUGUUGGGGACCUGCAGCUGCCCGCAGGCCCUGAAAACCAGUGGCGGGCUCGCUGUCACACCGAGUGUAGUAGCAAUCACCUCGCUCAGGGCGUGCUGCGGGUUCCGGCCGUUAAACAGCCUUACAAAACCCAAGGUUGACCUCGGAUCAGGUAGGAAGACCCGCUGAACUUAAGC
rnacentral:misc_RNA from 1 species